rnacentral:rRNA from 1 species
AUUGAACGCUGGCGGCAUGCCUUACACAUGCAAGUCGAACGGCAGCGGGGGAGAAGCUUGCUUUUCCUGCCGGCGAGUGGCGAACGGGUGAGUAAUACAUCGGAACGUGCCCUGUAGUGGGGGAUAACUAGUCGAAAGAUUAGCUAAUACCGCAUACAACCUGAGGGUGAAAGUGGGGGACCGCAAGGCCUCAUGCUAUAGGAGCGGCCGAUGUCUGAUUAGCUAGUUGGUGGGGUAAAGGCCUACCAAGGCGACGAUCAGUAGCUGGUCUGAGAGGACGAUCAGCCACACUGGGACUGAGACACGGCCCAGACUCCUGCGGGAGGCAGCAGUGGGGAAUUUUGGACAAUGGGCGAAAGCCUGAUCCAGCAAUGCCGCGUGUGUGAAGAAGGCCUUCGGGUUGUAAAGCACUUUUGUCCGGAAAGAAAUGGCUCUGGUUAAUACCUGGGGUCGAUGACGGUACCGGAAGAAUAAGGACCGGCUAACUACGUGCCAGCCGCCGCCGUAA